GGGGGCGUAGCUCUGAUGGUAGAGCGCUCGCUUGGAAUGCGAGAGGUACGGUUAUCGAUACCCCGCGCCUCCA